rnacentral:rRNA from 1 species
AUGGAUACGCCUAGGGAUGUAAGUGGACGCGUGCGCGAAGUUUACUUUCAUGGUUUUUGUAUUAGCUUGAUUUUAAAAGCAACAUUGGUCAGUUUAUUUUCGCCUUCUUGGGUUGUUUGUAUUCACUCUUAUUUCCAUUCAGUCUCCAGGCCAGGUGCUGUUAUUAGGCAAAAACAUUUCUUCCUGGGCGGAUGGGAGUAUCUUUUGGUGAUGUUGCGCGGCAAUCAUGCCAUCAUGGCCAUGGGAAAUUGCAAGCACCUGAAAAAUUCACGCAUUUUUAUGUCAAAAAGUUUGAGGUUUCUUACUGCCUUAGAAAUUAUUUUGGAAUUUUACUGUUUAUUCAGCUAG